rnacentral:sRNA from 1 species
CGGCGGCGCUCAGACAACAAAAGCGGAAGAUGCUGCAGUUGGGCAAGGUCAGGACCUUGCCCUGAAGCCGGGCGGCGCCGCGCACGCCUCUUCCCGGACUGAGGAGCUGUCGCCGGCGGAGGGUGCAUGUUUGCGAGGAAGCCGCCGGGCGCCGCGCCUUUGGGAGCUAUGCCUGUUCCAGACCAGCCUUCAUCAGCCUCAGAGAAGACGAGUUCCCUGAGCCCUGGCUUAAACACCUCCAACGGGGAUGGCUCUGAAACAGAAACCACCUCUGCUAUCCUCGCCUCAGUCAAAGAACAGGAAUUACAGUUUGAAAGGCUGACCCGAGAGCUGGAGGCUGAACGGCAGAUCGUAGCCAGCCAGCUGGAGCGAUGCAAGCUUGGAUCCGAGACUGGCAGCAUGAGCAGCAUGAGAAGCAGAAGGAAAACACUUCACCUCCCUACCUCUACAUCUGUUGUUUCAACCUGAAGUCUCGGGAACAUG